rnacentral:lncRNA from 1 species
CUUUAAUAGAUUUGAGAGAAGGAGUUGAUUGCAGCAGAAUAGAGAGUUGAUUGUAGGAGACAAAAUAUCUGUUGGGAAAAAAAAAUUCAAACAAACUAAUCAAAUUUUUUUGAUAAUAAGCAUGCCAACCUAUUGAAUCUAAGAAUUAAAAAUUAUUAAAAAAGUUACAAGUACAUAGUGCCUUAGCUUUAAUCAACAAGAAAUAUAUCCUUCAGUUGUUUUAGUCCAAGAGAACAGUUAAAUAAUACAUAGUUAAGGACAAGAAUGAGAUUAUUAAAAAAAAAAAAGGACAAGAAUGCAUGCCAUCGAUACUUUAAGUACAUACAUGUUUGUCUUCACACGUCUUGUUUCACUGAUACAAAGUUUGAAUUAUAUUGAUGUGGAGAUCAAUCAACUUAAUUGAUUAUAAACAUUAAAAUAUAAAUAUAAUCUAUAGUUUAUAAGUUGCAAUUUAAAGACUAAGAUUUAUAUUUAUGCAUAGAGAUUCCAAGAAUUACUCCUUGUCCAAAUCUCCAACCACAAUCACCCUCAUCAGAGCAUGUACUGUAUGUUAUAUUUGAUAUCUAACCAAAUAUGGUUGGCUACACUUAAAGUCUAUUACACCAUGUAAGUAGAAACUCCAAAGCCUACUAACCUUGUAUUAUGUAAAGGAUCCACCAAAAGAACAGUAAGUACACUCCAAUCUACAUGUAAUAAUGUUGGAUAAAGAUUAAAGAACUUAUGAUGAGUUUUUGAGUAAUUGCUACAUAUGCAUGUUUCUAUGGUAAUAUAGUGUUCUACCAUGUCUGCAAGAAUAUUUCAGAAUUUUGUGGAACCUGAACCUACCAACUCUCAAUUUCUAAGCAAAGAGCCAAAAAGGACAUCAAGUUAGUACAUUUGUUCAUUUGUAUAGUCUAAUGUGAGGACCAUCGACAUCCUCGAGCUAUUCACACUCAUCCUCACUGAUCCAACAGUCAAUAGAUGAUAGCACCUUUUCACACCACCAUCCUCUCAAAAAAUGAUAUAAAAAUCUUAAUUAAAAAUGGAAUCAAUGUAGUUGAUUUGGGCCAAUUAUUUUCUUUUUCAAUAUGCAUAAGUUUAGAGGGAUUUACAGCCCUGAAAAGCUUCCUACUGCUGUUAAGGUGAGUACCAAAUGCUUCAAAUUCUUCUCUUGAAAAAUUGAUAAAAAAAGAAGGACAACACAGUAGUCCACUGUGUGGGAGACGGCAGCUUACAACUAAUUGACAUGUUAAUAUGUAAAAUAGCUAGCUAAUAUGUAGAUAGAAAAUAUCUAUAUGUAGUUAAAAUGUAAUAUGCUAAUAUGUAAAAAUAUUGACCACUGACUCCUAAUUAGUUAAUGACAUUAUACAUAAUGAACACGCAUGAAAGAAUAUUUAAAAUUCAAUAUAAUGCCAUGGUGUGUAGCAGUAGAUCAAGCACUACAUGCAUGGAGUCUUGGAGUGCUUAACACUCAUAAGCCAAAAUAGAUGAAAACUGAAAACAGUCUUCUAAGGCAGUAUGGUUGUUAUACUGUAUUUCCAUUUCAGGUGAUAAUUUUUUUUUUCAGGUCAGACCUAGCUAGCUAUAGCGGCUUAUUAAGGAAGACAUUUGGUUUCAUUUCCAACCAUUUUUGCUCAUAUAUUAAGGAACCAACCCUUAAGAAAAUUCAUUGUAAUACCUUCUUAUAUAUGACAGGAAUCAGUCGCCAAUGGAAAGAACACAUCCACUGCAGCUGAUGUAUUCUGUAUUCAGUACGCGUCUUUUCUUUUUAAACGAGAAUAACAAUGCUUUAAUAUCACUUACUUAACAAUGCCUUUCAAACUAUAAUAUCACUACUGCUUCUUUUUUACUGCUUCUUUGAAAAAUAAGUGAUUUUUAGGAUUUGGUGUGUUAGUUUUUAUGCACUACUGCUCCUUUUGAUGCUUCUAAAAAGGUGAUUUAUAGGCCUCAUAUAUUCGAUCGAUUGAUGAUUGUAUAUAAAAAUUAAAGGAAUAUAUCAUUUUCUUUUGGUGAUGCGUCCACACGGGCUGCAUUACAUAAAUAGAUUAAUCAUUAAUCUAAAUUUUAGAAAGGGAAUGUAGCUAUAAAUUCCAUUUCUUACUAAGUCACUGAUUUGUAAUCUUUUUGUAACAUAUUUUUUAAUCAAAUGCUUCAAAUUCUUCUCUUCAAAAAUUGGAAAAAAAAAAACAGAGGAGAACACAGCUUACAACUAAUUGACAUGUUAAUAUGUAAAAUAGCUAGCUAAUAUGUAGAUAGAAAAUAUCUAUAUGUAGCUAAAAUGUAAUAUGCUAAUAUGUAAAAAUAUUAAACUUUGAUGAGAAAUUUACAGAACAAUUCGAAAUAAAAGAUAAAACCAGGUGUAACUGAACAUAGUGAAACCAGGGGUACAACUUUUAUUAGCAUAGCUCUAUUGACCAAAGUUACAACCAUUAAUAUGGAGUAUGAAUGGAGUAUGUACAGUACCUUGUUUGGUAUGGAUGAGAGGUUGUUGGAUUCCUAUUGCUCAAGACUCUGAAUGAAAACAAAAUACAGACGACAAAAUUAAGUUAUAGGGAUUGUUCAGCAUAUCAUCAAGGAAAUAAAAACAGAGAAUAUAUCAUGAGAAUAAUAUGAUUCAAAACUACUGUUUAAUUGUCGAGCAUCAAUCGAAUCUCAAUUACAAUUGAACAUGGAGUACCGUUUAAUUGGGGCAUAAAACAACCUAGGUUGCCAUAAAACACUACAGUUGCCUUCACUUCUUGAGCAUGUCAUAAAGUUUGAAUUCAAAACUACCGUUUAAUUGUCGAGCAUCAAUGUUUAAUUGUCGAGCAUCAAUCGAAUCUCAAUUACAAUUGAAAAAGAAAGAGAAGAGAAUUAAAACAGAAGAGAAUUUACACAUUCGAAUCAGUAUAUUACACAAAAUAAGAAAGAUAGACUACCUGGUUCAAAUCGAUUGAUAGCAACGGGUGUGAAGAUUGUGCGCUGAGAUUGAGAGAGAGGAAUGUGGAAUUUUAGGCACUAAUUUCGGUUAGCAACAGAUAGUGGAGAAGCCAAAGCGCAACAGAAAUCUUCCACCUUCUUUUCCCACUACCCAUCUUCUUCUUCUUCUUCUUCUACUUCUUAUCUGAUGUUUCAGUUUAAUUUGUUGAGAUUGAAAUAAAAAUCUGAUUUUUAUUUUAUUUUUUUCUCAGAGAAAAGAGAAAGAUGAUGUACUCACUACUCACUACUC